GACGAACGCUGGCGGCGUGCUUAACACAUGCAAGUCGAACGGAAAGGCCCUGCUUGCAGGGUCCUCGAGUGGCGAACGGGUGAGUAACACGUGGGUGCUCUGCCCUGCACUUCGGGAUAAGCCUGGGCAACUGGGUCUAAUACCGGAUAGGAGCCAUUUUUAGUGGGAUGGUUGGAAAGUUUUUUCGGUGUAGGAUGAGCUCGCGGCCUAUCAGCUUGUUGGUGGGGUAAUGGCCUACCAAGGCGGCGACGGGUAGCCGGCCUGAGAGGGUGGACGGCCACAUUGGGACUGAGAUACGGCCCAGACUCCGACAGGAGGCAGAAGUGGGGAAGAUUGCACAAGGGGCGCAAGCCGGAUGCAGCGACGCCGCGUGGGGGAUGACGGCCUUCGGGUUGUAAACUCCGUUCGCUAGGGACGAAGCUUUUUGUGACGGUACCUAGAUAAGAAGCACCGGCUAACUACGUG
rnacentral:rRNA from 1 species